CCGCUGUCCCGCGCGCGGUCGCCGUCACGCUAGUAACUGGUACUCCCUCUAUUUUUUUUAUAUGACGUUGUAGUUCAGAUGCAGAACAUGUUUUUUAUAUGACGUUGUAGUUCAAUUUUUUUUUGCGAAAUCCAUUAUUGCCCCUGGCAUCUUCCUCCCGUUCCCCUCUUCUCUGUCCCGCCGCCGUCCGCGUUUCCCCGCCAUCGUCGUCGGGUCCCCGCUCCUGGCUCCUGCGCGCUGCUGCCGGCCUCGCCCUCACCUCCCUCCUCUCGCUAGCCCCUGCUCUUCCUCCCCAACUCGCUGUUGUACGUUGUGUCCUCCCAGAUCGCGAUGGCGCAGCCCCUGCCUCGGACUCCCUCCCCCUCUGCCCUGGACUCCCUCCCCCUGCCUCGGACUUCUCUGUCGAGUUGAAGCCCCUCUCGGCCGCAGCUCCUUCCGUCGCAGCCCUCGUGCCACAUCCGAGCAGGGCGACAAGGCCGCCCGUGCGCUCCUCGUCGGGCGGCAUGGAGAUCAAGAUCAGCUUCACCGGACUAGACUCCUUUGCCGCUACCCAGUCCAAGCCUCAUCGCGCCGCCGGUACCCCAGCAUUGCGCCAGCAUCAUCCCGGGGAUCCAUCUUCUCAAUCCUUGAGGAUGGGCUAAAUGACAAAGAAGAGGAAAUACAAAGGAUCAGGGAAAGAAACCGUGCUUAUCAACGACGCUUUUUAUAUGUGCGCAGCCUACCUCAUGAUCCCAUGUUACCAGGUUUCUUUGAUCAUGUCUUCAUCGACAAAAGUUGUUACCGCAUUACUAGAAAGAACACUCAAGAUGUCCUGAUUUUGACAGCCAUUGCUCGGUCGAGAUUUGACUCUGAUGGCAGAUGCACCUUUGAUGGAAAGAUUGGUUGCUUUCCUUUGGUAAAAUAUGAAGUAGCCAAGAGGUCGAAUGCCAACCGGCCUGCGGGGAUGAUAGAGAUGAAACCCAUCAACCCGGUAAAAGAGGAGGUCAUUCGAGAUUUGAUGAUUCAAAAGGUUUUACCGGCGAUUCGUGCGAAGUGGCCGCUUGAAGAUGCGAGCAAGCCUAUAUUCAUACAAGAUAAUGGAAGACCUCAUUUAGCGCCCAAUGAUAAGCUAUUAUGGGAUGCUGCUAAGCAAGAUGGGUUCGACAUGAGACUUGUAUGUCAGCCAGUAAAUUCACCCAACUGCAAUAUUAUCCAUGGAUUAGGCUUGUUUAACUCUAUGCAGUCAAUUCAGUACAAAACAGUAGAAGAUCUUGUAGCUGACGUUCAUCAAGAUUUUGAAGGCUAUUCAGUAGACCAUGCAAAUGAAUAUUUACUGAGGCUCCAUGGAUGUAUGAAGAGAAAAAUGAAAGAUAAGGGUGUCUCCUUUGCAACUGAAAUGUAAAGGCUCAAAUCAUGCAUGCUUCUAUGGUGCAGAUCGAGAAAUAAAUAUUGUAGAAUUAAUUUAUGAUGUAAUUUCUUCUUCAUCUAUUUUGUAAUUAAUGUGAUGAAUGUGCUUAGUUGACAACUUCUGGUGAAUUUUGUUAUUUAUAGGCUGGUCAGAUUUGCAUAAUGGCCUAAAGAAUUCUAUGAAAGAGAUUCUUGGUUGCUCUCAUGCUCUGUACUGUGAUUCUUGGUUGAUGAUGGUGUUUCAAAGUAAUUUAUGAAUAAAUCUUUUCU